AGUGAACGCUGGCGGCGUGCUUAACACAUGCAAGUCGAACGAGAACGGAUUAUAGCUUGCUAUAAUUGUCAGCUAAGUGGCGCACGGGUGAGUAAUGUAUAGGUAAUAUGCCUCUUACUAAGGGAUAACAAAUGGAAACAUUUGCUAAUACCUUAUACUCCUUAUUAACAGAAGUUAAUAAGGGAAAGAUUUAUUGGUAAGAGAUUAGCCUGUAUUGUAUCAGUUAGUUGGUGGGGUAAUGGCUUACCAAGACUAUGACACAUAACUGGUUCGAGAGGAUGAUCAGUCACACUGGAACUGAGACACGGUCCAGACUCCUACGGGAGGCAGCAGUGGGGAAUAUUGCACAAUGGACGAAAGUCUGAUGCAGCAACGCCGCGUGGAGGAUGACACAUUUCGGUGCGUAAACUCCUUUUAUAUGAGAAGAUAAUGACGGUAUUAUAUGAAUAAGCACCGGCUAACUCCGUGCCAGCCGCCGCGGUAA
rnacentral:rRNA from 1 species